AGCUUCACUCCUGAAGCCAGGGAGACCACUAACCCACCGGGAGGGACAAACAACUCCGGAUGGGAGGAAUGAACAACUCUGGACCUGCCACCUUUCUGAACUGUAACAGUCACCACAAAGGUCUGCAGCUUCGCUCCUGAAGUCAGUGAGACCACGAACCCACCGGGAGGGACCAACAACUCCAGAUGUGCCACCUUUAAGAGCUGGAACACACACCACAAAGGUCUGCAGCUUCAUUCCUGAAGCCAGCGAGACCACAAACCCACCGGGAGGGAGGAACAACUCCCAGCCCGAGGAGAAAACAGCUGUGGAUGUGCCACCUUUAUGAAGUGUAACAUUCACCGCGAAGGUCUGCAGCUUCACUCCUGAAGUCAGCAAGACCACAAACCCACCGGGAGGAACGAACAACUCCAGACACGCCACCUUUAAGAACUGUAGCACUCACCAUGAAGGUCUGCAGCUUCACUCCUAAAGUCAGCGAGACCACAAACCCACUGGGAGGAACGGACAACUCCAGACGUGCCACUUUUAUGAACUUUAACACUUACCGCAAAGGUCUGCAGCUUCACCCUUGAAGUCAGCGAGACCACGAACCCACCAGAAGAAAGAAACUCCAGACACUUCCGAACAUCAGAAGGAACGAACUCUGGACACGCCAUCUUUAAUAACUGUAACAUUCACCAGGAGAGUCCGUGGCUUCAUUCUUGAAGUCAGCAAGACCAAGAACCCACCAAUUCUGGACACAAUAUCACAGAAAUGACAUAGAAAUUAAGGAAUCCCAGAACUUUGCACCAAAAGGUUGAGAAGCUUUUAGGGAGAGAAGUUGAGGAUGUCAUUGCUCGUCUCUUUGCAACAGUGAAACAAAGCCAGCCUGGAAUCAACAGGAAGAUAAUAACAUCAAAGCAGCACAGGAGCUCAGUUAAGAGUGAGGAUAAAAAACUACAAGAACAGGCAGGCUGGAAAAGAAUGCUGAAAAAAUUUAUAAUUUUUGUAGAUUCGUUUUUAAAAAUUAGUAGACUUUUUUUAAAAAAGGGUUUUUUUGUUUGUUUGUUUGUUUGUUUUGUUUGGUUGUUUUGCAUUCUUUUCCAAGAUGGCAGAAUAGAGGCUUUUCCAGCACACUUCACCCACUUGGAAGAAGCAAGAUAGUGUAUAGAGAGAUUCAUGCUUUGAUGUUUUAUCCAAGAAAGAACAUGACAGUUCAACAGAAAAGUG
rnacentral:lncRNA from 1 species